CAGUAGCCGCGGUAAUACGGAGGGUGCAAGCGUUAAUCGGAAUUACUGGGCGUAAAGCGCACGCAGGCGGUCUGACAAGUCAGAUGUGAAAUCCCCGGGCUUAACCUGGGAACUGCAUUUGAAACUGUCAGGCUGGAGUCUUGUAGAGGGGGGUAGAAUUCCAGGUGUAGCGGUGAAAUGCGUAGAGAUCUGGAGGAAUACCGAUGGCGAAGGCAGCCAUCUGGCCUAAUACUGACGCUGAGGUACGAAAGCAUGGGGAGCAAACAGGAUUAGAUACCCGCGUAGUCCCUGUCUCUUAUAC
rnacentral:rRNA from 1 species